UUACCGUCGGAGUAGCAGUUACACCGCGUCAAUCAAUCAUAACGGACACAGAGAUUUCAAAGGCAGCAGGAUGAAAGAUAUGUGUCUGUGUUCAUCAAGACAUGAAGACUAUGGAGUGGGACAAGAGAAGGAUGAUGGGGUGUAUAUUCCAAUAGACACAUUAAGUGAAAGCUGAUAAAUACAGAGGGCUGGACAGUGGUUUCAUUCAUUAGGUAAAGAGGUGGGACAAGGAUGCUGACAGGACAGGAGGAGGUGACAUUCAGGUUAGUGACAGUACAUCAGGGCCACCAUUUAAUUUAAUGUUAAUUUAAUUGCUUCCAAAAUCAAUACUUGACAAAUCUUUAGAAUUAUAUCUGCAAAGCUGAAUUUGUCAUAGGUGGAUAAAGUAUGACAGCAAUUGUGAAGACCUUAGACGUGCAGUAUAUUGUUCUUCUCUCUUUCAUU